rnacentral:lncRNA from 1 species
CUGCUCACAUACAUGCAUGCUGAUUUUAUCUUCGAAUUAUUUUAGAUUUUAUAUACAACAUCCAUGUCAUAGAUUCUAUAAUAGGUUAAUUUGAUGAUUAGAUCAUAUAUAUAUAUUAUAUUAAUUUGAUUAAUCUAAUUAUCUUUCACUGUAAUUUUUUUAAAAAAUUUCAAAAUACAUGCAUCAAAUCGUCUAUGCAUCCC